UACAGAGGGUGCGAGCGUUGUCCGGAAUCACUGGGCGUAAAGGGCGCGUAGGCGGCCUGAUAAGUCGGGGGUGAAAUCCUGUGGCUUAACCACAGGGCUGCCUCCGAGACUGUCGGGCUCGAGCACAGUAGAGGCAGGUGGAAUUCCCGGUGUAGCGGUGGAAUGCGUAGAGAUCGGGAAGAACAUCGGUGGCGAAGGCGGCCUGCUGGGCUGUUGCUGACGCUGAGGCGCGAAAGCGUGGGGAGCAAACAGG
rnacentral:rRNA from 1 species